AAGAUUUCCCACCGCAAGGGUAAGACCCCAGAAAGACUAUCUGGUUGAUAGGUCGAAGGUGUAAGUGCAGCAAUGUAUUUAGCUUAUCGAUACUAAUAGGUCGAGGACUUGACCAAUAUUUAUU
rnacentral:rRNA from 1 species